rnacentral:piRNA from 2 species
UAAAAUAAUGGUGUCCAUAC